rnacentral:rRNA from 1 species
UAGGGGUGGGACUAAGACAUGCGAGUCGUGGCGUCUCUAAGCCAUGGUAGAGGCGCGGCGUACGGCUCAGUAACACGUGGUUAACCUACCCUUAGGACGGGGACAACCCCGGGAAACUGGGGCUAAUUUCUGAUAGGUGAGGAGGCCUGGAAUGGUUCUUCGCCGAAAAGGCGUUGAAACCAUGCUUUUCAACGUCGCCUAAGGAUGGGGCCGCGCCCGAUCAGGUUGUUGGUGAGGUAACGGCUCACCAAGCCUAUAACCGGUACGGGCCGUGAGAGCGGGAGCCCGGAGAUGGGCACUGAGACAAGGGCCCAGGCCCUACGGGGCGCAGCAGUCGCGAAAACUCCGCAAUGCGCGAAAGCGUGACGGGGCUACCCCGAGUGCCGUCCGCUGAGGAUGGCUUUUCCCCGGUGUAAUGAGCCGGGGGAAUAAGGAGAGGGCAAGACUGGUGUCAGCCGCCGCGGUAAUACCAGCUCUCCGAGUGGUAGGGACGAUUAUUGGGCUUAAAGCGUCCGUAGCCGGCUUAGCAAGUCUCCUGUUAAAUUCAGCGACUCAAUCGUUGAGCCGCGGGGGAUACUACUAGGCUAGGAGGCGGGAGAGGUCGACGGUAUUCUCGGGGGAGGGGUGAAAUCCUAUAAUCCCGGGAGGACCACCAGUGGCGAAGGCUGUCGGCUAGAAUGCGCUCGACGGUGAGGGACGAAAGCUGGGGGAGCGAACCGGAUUAGAUACCCGGGUAGUCCCAGCUGUAAACGAUCCGGGCUAGGUGUUGAGGCGGCUACGAGCCACUUCAGUGCCGCAGGGAAGCUAUUAAGCCCGCCGCCUGGGGAGUACGGCCGCAAGGCUGAAACUUAAAGGAAUUGGCGGGGGAGCACCACAAGGCGUGAAGCUUGCGGUUUAAUUGGAGUCAACCCCGGA